rnacentral:rRNA from 1 species
GGGGAUAGCGGGGGCCUUAACACAUGCAGUCGAGCGGUAGACAAAACAGCUUGCUUCUUUGGUUGACGAGCGGCGGACGGGUGAGUAAUGUCUGGGAAACUGCCUGAUGGAGGGGGAUAACUACUGGAAACGGUAGCUAAUACCGCAUAACGUCGCAAGACCAAAGUGGGGGACCUUCGGGCCUCAUGCCAUCAGAUGUGCCCAGAUGGGAUUAGCUAGUAGGUGAGGUAAUGGCUCACCUAGGCGACGAUCCCUAGCUGGUCUGAGAGGAUGACCAGCCACAUUGGAACUGAAACACGGUCCAGACUCCUACGGGAGGCAGCAGUGGGGAAUAUUGCACAAUGGGGGCAAGCCUGAUGCAGCCUACCGGGGUGUAUGAAGAAGGCAUUCGGGUUGUAAAGUACUUUCAGCGAGGAAGGAGGGGCUUAAGGUAAAUAACCUUAGCGAUUGACGUUACUCGCAGAAAAAGCACCGGCUAACUCCGUGCCAGCAGCCGCGGUAAUACGGGAGGGUGCAAGCGUUAAAUCGGGAAUUACUGGGCGUAAAGCGCACCCCAGGCGGUCUGUCAAGUCGGAUGUGAAAUCCCCGGGCUCAACCUGGGAACUGCAUCCCGAAACUGGCAGGCUAGAGUCUUGUAGAGGGGGGUAGAAUUCCAGGUGUAGCGGUGAAAUGCGUAGAGAUCUGGAGAAUACCGGUGGCGAAGGCGGCCCCCUGGACAAAGACUGACGCUCAGGUGCGAAAGCGUGGGGGAGCAAACAGGAUUAGAUACCCUGGUAGUCCACGGCUGUAAACGAUGUCGACUUGGAGGUUGUGCCCUUGGAGGAGUGGCUUCCGGAGCUAACGCGUUAAGUCGACCGCCUGGGGGAGUACGGCCGCAAGGUUAAAACUCAAAUGAAUUGACGGGGGCCCGCACAAGCGGGUGAAGCAUGUGGUUUAAUUCGAUGCAACGCGAAGAACCUUACCUACUCUUGGACAUCCAGAAGAACUUAGCAGAGAAUGCUUUGGUGCCUUCGGGAACUUCUGGAGAAAGGUGCUGCAUGGCUUGUCGUCAGCUCGUGGGUGUGAAAUGUUGGAUUAAGUCCCGCAACGAGCGCAACCCUUAUCUCUUUGUGGCCAGCGGUUCGGCCGGGAACUCAAAGGAGACUUGCCAGUGAUAAACUGGAGGAAGGGUGGGGAUGACGUCAAGUCAUCAUGGCCCUUAAGAGUAGGGCUACACACGUGCUACAAUGGCAUAUACAAAGAGAAGCGACGUCUCGCGAGAGCAAGCGGACCUCAUAAAGUAUGUCGUAGUCCGGAUCGGAGUCUGCAACUCGACUCCGUGAAGUCGGAAUCGCUAGUAAUCGUGGAUCAGAAUGCCACGGUGAAUACGUUCCCGGGCCUUGUACACACCGCCCGUCACACCAUGGGAGUGGGUUGCAAAAGAAGUAGGUAGCUUUACCUUCGGGAGGGGCGCCUUACCCCGUUCAGUACGUCC